rnacentral:rRNA from 1 species
CCGUAACUAUAACGGUCCUAAGGUAGCGAAAUUCCUUGUCGGGUAAGUUCCGACCCGCACGAAAGGCGUAAUGAUUUGGGCACUGUCUCAACAACACACCCGGUGAAAUUGAAAUACCAGUGAAGAUGCUGGUUACCUGCGCCAGGACGGAAAGACCCCAUGGAGCUUUACUCCAGCUUGAUACUGGGAUUCGGUAUUGCAUGUACAGGAUAGGUGGGAGGCUAUGAAGUGGGAACGCCAGUUUCCAUGGAGCCGACGUUGGGAUACCACCCCUGCAGUACUGGGCUUCUAACAUGCGGCCGUAAGCCGGCCGGUGGACAAUGCCAGGCGGGGAGUUUGACUGGGGCGGUCGCCUCCGAAAGGGUAUCGGAGGCGCUCAAAGGUUCCCUCAGAAUGGUUGGAAACCAUUCGAAGAGUGCAAAGGCAGAAGGGAGCUUGACUGCGACACCGACGGGUGGAGCAGGUACGAAAGUAGGACUUAGUGAUCCGGUGGUAUAAAGUGGGAUUGCCAUCGCUCAACGGAUAAAAGCUACCCUGGGGAUAACAGGCUUAUCACUCCCAAGAGUUCACAUCGACGGAGUGGUUUGGCACCUCGAUGUCGGCUCAUCGCAUCCUGGGGCUGUAGCAGGUCCCAAGGGUUGGGCUGUUCGCCCAUUAAAGCGGUACGCGAGCUGGGUUCAGAACGUCGUGAGACAGUUCGGUCCCUAUCCGGCGUGGGCGUAGGAUAUUUGAGAGGAGCUGUCCUUAGUACGAGAGGACCGGGAUGGACGUACCUCUGGUGCACCAGUUGUCAUGCCAAUGGCACGGCCGGGUAGCCAAGACGGGAAGGGAUAAACGCUGAAGGCAUCUAAGCGUGAAGCCCCCCUCAAGAUGAGAUAUCCCUCCUUCGGGAGUAAGACCCCUUGAAGACUACAAGGUAGAUAGGGCAGAGGUGGAAGCAUGGCAACAUGUGGAGCU